rnacentral:rRNA from 1 species
UACGUAGGUGGCGAGCGUUGUCCGGAUUUACUGGGCGUAAAGGGCGUGCAGGCGGUUUGUUAAGUGCAGGGUGAAAGCUCCCGGCUCAACUGGGAGAGGUCUUUGCAUACUGGCGAACCCGAGGGAGGCAGAGGAAAGUGGAAUUCCCGGUGUAGUGGUGAUAUGCGUAGAUAUCGGGAGGAACACCUGUGGCGAAGGCGGCUUUCUGGGCCUUACCUGACGCUGAGACGCGAAAGCGUGGGAGCGAACCGG